AUAAGUCUAUUUAAGCUCUGGGGCUUCACUCUCUUUUGUGCUGUGGUGGAGGAGUGCCACGCUUCAGCUCUGUUCCUGAGUUGUUUGGACUUCUUGGCUUGACUGUGGACCUGGCUAGCUGCCUGAUGAUCACCCUGCUACUGAUUGGUUCUGCAUCUGUAGCAGCAAGCAAGGAAAUCAGAAGAUCCUUUUCCUUCACCUGAUAAGGAGUCAGAAGAUCCUACAAGGAAGGGAGGCAGUUGCAGCAGAGGACCAGUGUGGAUAUCCAAGUCAGCUGGACCUGGAAUGAGGACUGCGCUUCAUGCUCAGCAUGUGGCUGAUUUUCCCGCUCCAGGGCAUGUGAGUAGGAUGGUCAGCUUUAAUGAUGGAGAUUUCUGUCCUAGGAAAUGCUGUGGGUGUCAUAUGAGAGAGAAGGAAACAAAUGGAAGCUCCUGAGGGAGCAGUGGAUACCUCUAGGAGCUGGGGAGGCUCCUACCGAGAACAAAGCUGGUGCUGUGUGGGACCUGUGAUGUGUUUGUGUCCUUGGAGAUCUGAGUUUGUACCUGGGUUAAACGGUUUCAGGGGCACCCACAAGGUCACAAAACCUGCUAUUUAAGGUCUCACUCACUUGUUCUUCACUGGUUAAUGUCCUCCACAGGCUGUUCCCAAACCUAGUGUGUAUGUAAAGGAGUAGAAAUGCUGGCAGGGCUUGAAGAUAACUAAGAUAGCUAACAGCUGUCAACAGCCUAGCCAGACACACGUUAGAAACAGAUGAGGUCCAUGAACAAACCAUGCCAGUCUUCUAGGUCUAGUGCAUCUCAUUUGGAGCAAGCCUUCAUCCAGGUAAAGAAUUGUGAGAGGGAAGGAAUCUUUUUAAUGUAGUAUCCCUAUUUUUUCCAAGAGGUGUAUUGACAGGACUAGAACUGCUCGGAGCUGCUCUGGUUUUGUACCUCCCUGUGAAAACUUCCAUUGACAUUGACACAGCAGCUCCACAGGAUGACUUCUCCCUUCCCUUUCUCUGCAGCUCAUGGUUUUCACUCUGUAGCUAAACCAGGAGGCUGAAUGUGGGGCAGUUUAUUCAGGAUCAAGGCUUUCUCCCACAGCAGAGAAUCCUGCUAAAUGUCAGGAGAAGAUCUGAUUAUUAACUAGCACAGAGUGUUAUGUGAGUGAUAGCAAACUCCUUCCUGGGGCU